CUACGUGCCAGCAGCCGCGGUCAUACGUAGGAUCCGAGCAUUAUCCGGAGUGACUGGGUGUAAAGAGUUGCGUAGGUGGCAAGGUAAGUAGAUAGUGAAAUCUGGUGGCUCAACCAUUCAGACUAUUAUCUAAACUAUCUAGCUCGAGACUGUUAUGGGUAACUGGAAUUUCUAGUGUAGGAGUGAAAUCCGUAGAUAUUAGAAGGAACACCGAUAGCGUAGGCAGGUUACUGGGACAGUUCUGACACUAAGGCACGAAAGCGUAGGGAGCAAACGGGAUUAGAUACCCCGGUAGUCUACGCCGUAAACGAUGGAUACUAGCAGUUUUGGGUAUCGACCCCCGGAGUUGCGAAGCUAACGCGUUAAGUAUCCCACCUGUGUAGUACGAUCGCAAGAUUAAAACAUAAAGGAAUUGACGGGGACCCGCACAAGCGGUGGAGCGUGAUCUUUAAUUCGAUGGUAAACGAUAAACCUUACCAAGGCUUGACAUCCGAUGUAGGCUCUCGAAAGAGAACUGUGCA
rnacentral:rRNA from 1 species